UACGUAGGGUGCGAGCGUUAAUCGGAAUUACUGGGCGUAAAGCGUGCGCAGGCGGCGCGUUAAGACAGGUGUGAAAGCCCCGAGCUUAACUUGGGAAUUGCGCUUGUGACUGGCGUGCUGGAGUGUGGCAGAGGGAGGUGGAAUUCCACGUGUAGCAGUGAAAUGCGUAGAGAUGUGGAGGAACACCGGUGGCGAAGGCGGGUCUCUGGGCAGUAACUGACACUGAGGGACGAAAGCUAGGGGAGCGAAUGGG
rnacentral:rRNA from 1 species